rnacentral:rRNA from 1 species
UAGCACAGAGAGCUUGCUCUCGGGUGACGAGCGGCGGACGGGUGAGUAAUGUCUGGGAAACUGCCUGAUGGAGGGGGAUAACUACUGGAAACGGUAGCUAAUACCGCAUAAUGUCGCAAGACCAAAGUGGGGGACCUUCGGGCCUCAUGCCAUCAGAUGUGCCCAGAUGGGAUUAGCUAGUAGGUGGGGUAACGGCUCACCUAGGCGACGAUCCCUAGCUGGUCUGAGAGGAUGACCAGCCACACUGGAACUGAGACACGGUCCAGACUCCUACGGGAGGCAGCAGUGGGGAAUAUUGCACAAUGGGCGCAAGCCUGAUGCAGCCAUGCCGCGUGUGUGAAGAAGGCCUUCGGGUUGUAAAGCACUUUCAGCGGGGAGGAAGGCGUUAAGGUUAAUAACCUUGGCGAUUGACGUUACCCGCAGAAGAAGCACCGGCUAACUCCGUGCCAGCAGCCGCGGUAAUACGGAGGGUGCAAGCGUUAAUCGGAAUUACUGGGCGUAAAGCGCACGCAGGCGGUCUGUCAAGUCGGAUGUGAAAUCCCCGGGCUCAACCUGGGAACUGCAUUCGAAACUGGCAGGCUAGAGUCUUGUAGAGGGGGGUAGAAUUCCAGGUGUAGCGGUGA